CCUACGGGAGGCAGCAGUGAGGAAUAUUGGUCAAUGGACGCAAGUCUGAACCAGCCAUGCCGCGUGCAGGAAGACGGCUCUAUGAGUUGUAAACUGCUUUUGUACGAGGGUAAACGCAGAUACGCGUAUCUGUCUGAAAGUAUCGUACGAAUAAGGAUCGGCUAACUCCGUGCCAGCAGCCGCGGUAAUACGGAGGAUUCAAGCGUUAUCCGGAUUUAUUUGGUUUAAAGGGUGCGUAGGCGGUCGGAUAAGUUAGAGGUGAAAUCCCGGGGCUCAACUUCGGAAUUGCCUCUGAUACUGGUCGGCUAGAGAGUAGUUGCGGUAGGCAGAAUGUAUGGUGUAGCGGUGAAAUGCUUAGAGAUCAUACAGAACACCGAUUGCGAAGGCAGCUUACCAAGCUACUUCUGACGCUGAGGCGCGAAAGCGUGGGGAGCAAACAGGAUUAGAUACCCCAGUAGUC
rnacentral:rRNA from 1 species